rnacentral:misc_RNA from 1 species
GAUGAAGAACGUAGUGAAAUGCGAUAGGUAAUGUGAAUUGCAGAAUUCAGUGAAUCAUCGAAUCUUUGAACGCACAUUGCGCCCUUUGGUAUUCCUUAGGGCAUGCCUGUUCGAGCGUCAUUGCUGCCCUCAAGCACGGCUUGUGUGUUGGGCCUCCGUCCUCCUCCCGGGGGACGGGCCCGAAAGGCAGCGGCGGCACCGCGUCCGGUCCUCGAGCGUAUGGGGCUUCGUCACCCGCUCUUGUAGGCCCGGCCGGCGCUUGCCGACACAUCAAUCUUUUUUCCAGGUUGACCUCGGAUCAGGUAGGGAUACCCGCUGAACUUAAGCAUAUCAAUAAGCGGAGGA